rnacentral:sRNA from 1 species
CCCGGGGCUGACGCCCCGGGCUAUUUCAUGCCGCCCCUUCGGGGCU